CAGAAAAUGGUGGGCAAUAGAGAAUGCUGGGGAGGUGGGCGGGACCCCUGCGUGGGUGCCAGCUUCCUAUUGCGGAGGAUGUGGGCGUGUCGAGUGGAAGGUUACGAAAGAGAGGGAAAAGAUGGUCUUUUUUCAAAGGAAAAUUCCUGCCAUGAUAACACACCAGAAGAUGUCAUUUCGGGGAAUCUUCAUGUCUCCAGACCAGUGUUCAAGAUUAUGGCAGCCUGAUGGGUGCUGGUCAGGCUGGAUUCUGGCUGGAAUGAGCCUGCAGCAGGCACCAGACCCUCCUAGGCUGAUGGCUGGGCCGUCCUUGACAUACUUACCUGGAGGACAGGGACUGUCCCCAUCACAGGUCAGAGACCUUUGCCCUUCCCUCCUUUUCCCUUCCUCUUUCGGGAACCUUUUGUAGGGGAGGAGAUAAAGCCCCAAGGAUUCCUAACUGGAAACACUGGUUGGGACAGACUUUGGGUGAGCAGAUGUCCAACCAGGUAAGUUGGGGCUGAAGCAGAAGGGGCUGGUCCUUCUCUCAGAGUCCAGUGAAGUAGCCCCCCAAAAUGGGGUUAGACCUCGGACAAGACCUCUCCAGCCCUCUCCCGCCCACCUUUCUCAGAUUCCCAGAAGGGCCUCGAAUGUGCACAGGCCUGUUUGGGUGGUUCUGCGGUGACUGUAGCUCUGUGUGUGCCUGGUGCAUGCUUCUGCUGUCUGCGUCAGCCCAGGCCCAGAGGCACAGGAGACCCCAGGGAAAGGGAGCUUGCAAAGGCACGCGGUCCUGCAGCUCAGGAGAAAAGGGGUUUCACCUCCUGUGUGAACAUCCCUGUGCACUGCAGGCCCAGCCCACGAAUUGGGAGCCAGGACAGUCAAGCUGUGAGCUGGUGUGAAGAUGCUUUUGAAGGCAUUGAUGGUGGAGGGUCAGUGGCAUCCAGAGCCUGGUUCUCUGGGCCCCUCGCCACCUCCCUGCCUAGGCAGAAGGCUGGUAUCUCAGUCACAUGUCCCAGAAGUGACUUGCCUGGCCAACUCCAGAGCAGAAUGCAUUGAGGGCCCUGGACUCUGGAGAGAGCCCUCUGCUAACCAGGAUGCCCUGGCUCUGAGGGGACACUGCAUGAGAGUGGGAGGCCCUGUG